UGAUGACGAGACGCUAAGGCGUUGAAGCAGUGUAUGUCAGACUUCCAAGAAAAGCUCGCAAUGUCACAAAUAUAAAAUGCCUGUACCAUAACCGACACAGGUGGGUAGGUAGAGUAUACUAAGGGGCGCGAGUUAACUCUCUCUAAGGAACUCGGCAAAAUGACUCCGUAACUUCGGGAGAAGGAGUGCCUUAUUUGUAAGGUUGCAAUAACAAGAUCCAAGCAACUGUUUAUCAAAAACACAGGUCUCCGCUAAGUCGUAAGGCGAUGUAUGGGGGCUGACGCCUGCCCAGUGCCAGAGGGUUAAAGAAGUUGGUUAGUGUAUGCGAAGCUGAUGACUGAAGCCCUGGUGAACGGCGGCCGUAACAAUAACGGUCCUAAGGUAGCGAAAUUCCUUGUCGGGUAAGUUCCGACCCGCACGAAAGGCGUAAUGGUUUGGAUACUGUCUCGGAGAGAGGCUCGGUGAAAUAGACUUGUCUGUGAAGAUGCGGACUACCUGCACCAGGACAGAAAGACCCUAUGAAGCUUUACUGUAACUUGAAAUUGGAAUCGGACUUUGCUUGCGCAGUAUAGGUGGGAAGCGUUGAAAAUAUUCUUGCGGGAGUAUUGGAGCUAUCAGUGAGAUACCACUCUUGUAACGUUAGAUUUCUAACUUUGAACCAUAAUCUGGUCAAAGAACAGUUCCAGGUGGGCAGUUUGACUGGGGCGGUCGCCUCCCAAAUGGUAACGGAGGCGUACAAAGGUUUCCUCUGAACGGAUAGAAAUCGUAUCUAGAGUGUAAAGGCAUAAGGAAGCUUGACUGUGAGACCUACAAGUCGAGCAGGGACGAAAGUCGGUCUUAGUGAUCUGACGGUACUGAGUGGAAAGGCCGUCACUCAACGGAUAAAAGUUACUCUAGGAUAACAGGCUGAUCUCCCCCAAGAGUUCACAUCGACGGGGAGGUUUGGCACCUCGAUGUCGGCUCAUCGCAUCCUGGGGCGGUAGUACGUCCCAAGGGUUGGGCUGUUCGCCCAUGAAAGCGGUACGCGAGCUGGGUUCAGAACGUCGUGAGACAGUUCGGUCCAUAUCCGGUGUAGGCGCUAGAGUAUUGAGAGGAGCCUUCUUUAGUACGAGAGGACCGAGAAGGACACACCGCUGGUGUACCAGUUAUCGUGCCAACGGUAAACGCUGGGUAGCUAUGUGUGGAGUGGAUAACCGCUGAAAGCAUCUAAGUGGGAAGCCCACCUCGAGAUGAGUAUUCUCC
rnacentral:rRNA from 1 species